rnacentral:rRNA from 1 species
GACGAACGCUGGCGGCGUGCUUAACACAUGCAAGUCGAACGGUGAACCUCUUCGGAGGGGAUCAGUGGCGAACGGGUGAGUAACACGUGGGCAACCUGCCCCCGGCUCUGGGAUAACUCCAAGAAAUUGGGGCUAAUACCGGAUGUUCACCGCUUCCCGCAUGGGUGGUGGUGGAAAGGGUUUCCGGCUGGGGAUGGGCCCGCGGCCUAUCAGCUUGUUGGUGGGGUAGUGGCCUACCAAGGCGACGACGGGUAGCCGGCCUGAGAGGGUGACCGGCCACACUGGGACUGAGACACGGCCCAGACUCCUACGGGAGGCAGCAGUGGGGAAUAUUGCGCAAUGGGCGGAAGCCUGACGCAGCGACGCCGCGUGGGGGAUGACGGCCUUCGGGUUGUAAACCUCUGUCAGCAGGGACGAAGCGCAAGUGACGGUACCUGCAGAAGAAGCACCGGCCAACUACGUG